rnacentral:rRNA from 1 species
CCUACGGGUGGCAGCAGUGAGGAAUAUUGGUCAAUGGACGAGAGUCUGAACCAGCCAAGUAGCGUGAAGGAUGACUGCCCUAUGGGUUGUAAACUUCUUUUAUAUGGGAAUAAAAUGUUCCACGUGUGGGAUUUUGUAUGUACCAUAUGAAUAAGGAUCGGCUAACUCCGUGCCAGCAGCCGCGGUAAUACGGAGGAUCCGAGCGUUAUCCGGAUUUAUUGGGUUUAAAGGGAGCGUAGGUGGAUUGUUAAGUCAGUUGUGAAAGUUUGCGGCUCAACCGUAAAAUUGCAGUUGAAACUGGCAGUCUUGAGUACAGUAGAGGUGGGCGGAAUUCGUGGUGUAGCGGUGAAAUGCUUAGUUAUCACGAAGAACUCCGAUUGCGAAGGCAGUUCACUGGACUGCAACUGACACUGAGGCUCGAAAGUGUGGGUAUCAAACAGGAUUAGAUACCCGAGUAGUC